rnacentral:rRNA from 1 species
UACGAAGGGGGCUAGCGUUGCUCGGAAUGACUGGGCGUAAAGCGCACGUAGGCGGACUCUUAAGUCGGUGGUGAAAUCCUGGAGCUCAACUCCAGAACUGCCUUCGAUACUGAGAGUCUUGAGUCCGGGAGAGGUGAGUGGAACUGCGAGUGUAGAGGUGAAAUUCGUAGAUAUUCGCAAGAACACCAGUGGCGAAGGCGGCUCACUGGCCCGGUACUGACGCUGAGGUGCGAAAGCGUGGGGAGCAAACAGG